CCUACGGGCGGCUGCAGUCGAGAAUCAUUCACAAUGGGGGAAACCCUGAUGGUGCGACGCCGCGUGGGGGAAUGAAGGUCUUCGGAUUGUAAACCCCUGUCAUGUGGGAGCAAAUUAAAAAGAGAGGACCACAAGAGGAAGAGACGGCUAACUCUGUGCCAGCAGCCGCGGUAAUACAGAGGGCUCAAGCGUUGUUCGGAAUCACUGGGUGUAAAGCGUGCGUAGGCUGUUUCGUAAGACGUGUGUGAAAGGCGCGGCCUCAACCCGCGGACGGCCCAUGAUACUGCGAGACUAGAGUAAUGGAGGGGGAACCGGAAUUCUCGGUGUAGCAGUGAAAUGCGUAGAUAUCGAGAGGAACACUCGUGGCGAAGGCGGGUUCCUGGACAUUAACUGACGCUGAGGCACGAAGGCCAGGGGAGCGAAAGGGAUUAGAUACCCCUGUAGUC
rnacentral:rRNA from 1 species